AGGUAGAGGCGUGCUGCCAGCAGUGCUGUAAUAUCCAUCGAGGGCCACCCAGAGGUUGUCCAAGAAGGAAACGCAACUAUUUCCAACUGAGCUCGGAGUCACGUCAAAGAUUUAAUUGGGAAGUUCAAAGGAAGCGUCGGAGGCUCUUUUGAUCUCUGAGUGAACGCCACGUUGCAUCGGUGCCUGCUGGCCACGGCGGUGACCUCUCGUGUUAAUUAGUGCUUAUCUGAAAUCGAAUUAGCUCACAACCGGGAGAAAGCAGAGUGAAAAUCAGAGGAUAAUCACGGAUUUGUGUGGUUCUCACUUAGAGUUCUCUGACUCUGGACCACACCUGCAGGCUCUGAAGCCCAAUGCACAGGAGGCAGCCAGAGAGCACUUUUCAUUACUUGUAUCGUGCUGGACUCAACUGGAAUUUAGGUAAAGGUUUCCUUGCUUAAAGGGAGGGAGGAACGUCCAGGAUACGAGGCAGAAAGAGCAGGGGUGUGUCUGCAAGCAGACCAGAGCAGGCACAACGAGGAGACAUUCCUCUAGCCUCA
ensembl:lncRNA